rnacentral:rRNA from 1 species
UACAGAGGUCUCAAGCGUUGUUCGGAUUCAUUGGGCGUAAAGGGUGCGUAGGCGGCGCGGUAAGUCGGGUGUGAAAUCUCGGAGCUUAACUCCGAAACUGCAUUCGAUACUGCCGUGCUUGAGGACUGGAGAGGAGACUGGAAUUUACGGUGUAGCGGUGAAAUGCGUAGAUAUCGUAAGGAAGACCAGUGGCGAAGGCGGGGUCUCUGGACAGUUCCUGACGUGAGGCACGAAGGUCAGGGGAGCAAACGGG